UUACGGCCACAUCACGUUGAAACACUGGAUUACCGAAGUUAAGCUACGACGAGACUGGUCAGUACCUAGAUGGGUGACCGCUUGUGAAUACCAGGUGCUGUAAG